rnacentral:lncRNA from 1 species
AAUAUUCAAUCUUACCAUUUAUAUUACUUGAUAACGAUCUGGUACACUUGCUAGGGGCUUAACACCAGAUGCUCAUAUUUUUGUGAAGACUAGAUGCGUGAUGGGCUGCCUAAGCUGGAUGCAUCAUCACUUGUUGGACCUAUGUUGUUGCCCAAGCUAAGCUUCUGGAUGUUGGAUCAGGUGUGCAUUGCUCUAACUUGUUAGACCGUGAAAGGAGUUGGUUGUUAAGCCGUUAUGCAGCGUGUGUUCUUCUUUU